rnacentral:rRNA from 1 species
CGGGGUGCAGCAGGCGCGAAACCUUUACAAUGCACGAAAGUGUGAUAAGGGGAUUCCAAGUGUGCAUAUACCAUAUGUACUUUUCUGGAGUGUAAAGAGCUUCAGGAAUAAGGGGUGGGUAAGACUAGUGCCAGCCGCCGCGGUAAAACUAGCAUCCCUAGUGGCAGCCACCAUUACUGGGCUUAAAGCGUCCGUAGCUUGUUUGGAAAGUCUCUGGUGAAAUCCUGCGGCUUAACCGUAGGGCUUGCCGAAGAAACUCCCAGACUUGAGGACAGGAGAGGUCAGGGGUACUUCUGGGGUAGGGGUGAAAUCCUAUAAUCCUAGAAGGACCAACAGUGGCGAAGGCGCCUGACAUGGAUGUGCCUGACAGUGAGGGACGAGAGCCAGGGUCGCGAAACGGAUUAGAUACCCGUGUAGUCCUGGCCGUAAACGAUGCUGACUAGGUGGGGCGUGUCCUUUGAGGUCAUGCUAUGCCGAAGGGAAACCGUUAAGUCAGCCGCCUGGGGAGUACGUCCGCAAGGAUGAAACUUAAAGGAAUUGGCGGGGGAGCACGGGGCGGGGGCG